GGGGGUAUGGUCUAGGGGUAUGAUUUCUCUUUCGCAAGUCGGUCCUCGAGCAAUUAGGGAUCGAUCACGUGCAUAGAGAAGGUCGUGGGUUCAAUUCCCACUGCCUCCA